GCCGGUAUAGUUUAGUGGUAGAACAGAUCCUUGGUAAGGAUCAGAGGCAAGUUCAAUUCUCGCUUCCGGCACCA
rnacentral:tRNA from 1 species